AUUUGUCUUCUAACCUACAAUAAUUGAAAUAGUUGGAGAGAAAAAUUUUGUAAAAAUGAAACUAACUCAAAUUUUAUUCCGUCGGAAUCGUUUACCAAAUGGUCAUAUUUUUCGUGGAAAAGACCGUUUAGUAAAAAGAGUUGAGCCAAAACAUCUUCGUGCCGUAGAAAGUAACUUUGCAAUUGAAGAGCAGAAUAUGUUUUAUUUACGUCAUCCAUACCUGACUGAGGCUGAAAGUUCUGGGCACUCCAAAGCUUUAGGGAAACAGGAACAAAGGAAAAAAUCAUUUGAAAAUAUUACAAGAAGAAUCUUCAAAGAGGAUGUAACUCUAUAUGAACGACUCAAACAUCUUAGGGUUAAAGAAAGCUGGGAGAAUUAAAAUGUCCCUACAUAAUAUUUGUACUUGGUUAGAUUAAAUUUAGUUUACAAUAAGAUAAAUAAAAUAUGGAGUUUAAAAAGUU